CAGUUAAUGAGAGACUGGGUUUAUACUAAUCUCCUUAAUUGGCACUUCCUGUGGUUGAUCCUUAAAUAGUGCUCAGCUGAGGCUGAACUUUAUGCAGCUUCCAUUUGGCUCUGGACACUUGAGCAGUGAGUAUGGUUCUCCUGCAGCUCCCUUCUGACACAUGAUUACGGUUGGUGAUUAUUUUUUCCUGUUGUGCCUCCUUACAGACUGAGUGUCUGACACAUGUACAGAGCCCACAAGCUGCCAUGAGCUAUUUCUACAUGUAACUAGGUGACUACGCCUUGCAGCUUCCCCUACGUUAUAGGCUUUUUAACUUCAUUAUGUGAUCAGGCAUGUUGCCAACUUUGAAGGCCAUUCCACACAUCUGAGUGAUCUGGCUUGCCGUCCAGGUGAUUUAAGUGCCAAUCUUGAUAAAGGUCCGCAUAAGGACCGAAACGUCGAUGAAAUACGGCAUCAACAGUGAACCCGAAUAAAAAUAUACUGAAUUUACAA